AUGGCCUGGACCCCUCUCCUCCUUGUUCUCCUCUCUCACUGCACAGGAUCCUGGGCCCAGUCUGUGCUGACUCAGCCACAGUCAGUCUCUGGGAACCUGGGCCAGAGGGUCACCAUCUCCUGCACUGGAAGCAGCUCCAACAUCGGGGGUGGUUAUGGUGUGGGCUGGCACCAACAGCUCCCAGGAACAGCCCCCAAAACCCUUAUAUAUGGUACUAGCAGUCGACCCUCAGGGGUCCCUGAUCGAUUUUCGGGCUCCAGAUCUGGCAGCACAGCCACCCUGACCAUCGCUGGACUCCAGCCUGAGGACGAGGGUGAUUAUUACUGUGCAAAUUGGGACAGCAGUCUGAGUGGUCACACAGUGUUCCAGGCCUGUGGGGAAGUGAGUCAAAAACCCUUUUUCUCUUCAGCCAAGAGCAGGUACCCCUGGUAG